rnacentral:rRNA from 1 species
UGGGGAAUAUUGGACAAUGGGCGAAAGCCUGAUCCAGCCAUGCCGCGUGUGUGAAGAAGGUCUUCGGAUUGUAAAGCACUUUAAGUUGGGAGGAAGGGCAGUAAGCGAAUACCUUGCUGUUUUGACGUUACCGACAGAAUAAGCACCGGCUAACUCUGUGCCAGCAGCCGCGGUAAUACAGAGGGUGCAAGCGUUAAUCGGAAUUACUGGGCGUAAAGCGCGCGUAGGUGGUUCGUUAAGUUGAAUGUGAAAGCCCCGGGCUCAACCUGGGAACUGCAUCAAGAACUGGCGAGAUAGAGUAGGGCAGAGGGUGGUGGAAUUUCCUGUGUAGAGGUGAAAUGCGUAGAUAUAGGAAGGAACACCAGUGGCGAAGGCGACCACCUGGGCUCAUACUGACACUGAGGUGAGAAAGCGUGGGGAGCAAACAGG